GUUGUACUUUUAGCUUCCCCCAUCCUGCAAGGCCACUCAACCAUGUGCUAGCUGGAGUGAUCUUUAUUCACAAUGUCUUUACAAAGGCUCCUGCAACACAGCAGCAAUGGCAAUUUGGCGGACUUCUGCGCUGGGUCAGCGUAUAGCUCUUACUCCACACUCACAGGCAGCCUUACGAUGGAUGAUAAUAGAAGGAUUCAAAUGCUGGCAGACACAGUGGCUACUCUGCCUCGGGGACGAAAGCAGCUUGCUUUGACCAGAUCAAGUUCUUUAAGUGACUUUUCCUGGUCUCAAAGAAAGCUUGUUACUGUGGAGAAGCAGGAUAAUGAAACAUUUGGAUUUGAAAUUCAGGUGGGCAGUUUUCACAUUUUCUAGACUUCCAAGGAAGAAAGUGGCAUUGGUAGUGUCAUGUUAUGUGCAAAGAAAAAAUGAAGUUAGGAUUAGAGAAUGAUGGAGUCUAUGAUUUUAUUCAGUGUGUGGCUGUUUUGGGGGUAGUUUUUCACUGUGUUGAGUACCAUUAAGGAAAGAAAACAUUGAAGAUGAUAACAAAACCUCUGCAA
rnacentral:sRNA from 1 species